rfam:Canis lupus familiaris chromosome 35, whole genome shotgun sequence.
CCAAAGGCUCUUUUCAGAGCCACUCCAUUCUCACCCAAGGAGUUGU